GAUGAACGCUGGCGGCGUGCCUAAUACAUGCAAGUCGAGCGAGUGGAUUAAGAGCUUGCUCUUAUGAAGUUAGCGGCGGACGGGUGAGUAACACGUGGGUAACCUGCCCAUAAGACUGGGAUAACUCCGGGAAACCGGGGCUAAUACCGGAUAACAUUUUGAACCGCAUGGUUCGAAAUUGAAAGGCGGCUUCGGCUGUCACUUAUGGAUGGACCCGCGUCGCAUUAGCUAGUUGGUGAGGUAACGGCUCACCAAGGCAACGAUGCGUAGCCGCCCUGAGGGGGUGGUCGGCCACACUGGGACUGGGGCGCGGCCCAGACUCCUACGGGGGGCAGCAGUAGGGAAUCUUCCGCAAUGGACGAAAGUCUGACGGAGCAACGCCGCGUGAGUGAUGAAGGCUUUCGGGUCGUAAAACUCUGUCGUUAGGGAAGAACAAGUGCUAGUUGAAUAAGCUGGCACCUUGACGGUACCUAACCAGAAAGCCACGGCUAACUACGUGCCAGCAGCCGCAGUAA
rnacentral:rRNA from 1 species